CUACCAGGGUAUCUAAUCCUGUUUGCUCCCCACGCUUUCGUGCCUCAGCGUCAGAUCAGGCCCAGGCGGUUGCCUUCGCCAUCGGUGUUCCUCCGGAUAUCUACGCAUUUCACCGCUACACCCGGAAUUCCGCCGCCCUCUACCGAUCUCCAGCUACCCAGUAUCGAAUGCAGUUCCCAGGUUGAGCCCAGGGCUUUCACAUCCGACUUAAAUAGCCGCCUACGCACGCUUUACGCCCAGUAAAUCCGAUUAACGCUUGCACCCUCUGUAUUACCGCGGCUGCUGGCAC
rnacentral:rRNA from 1 species